UCUGCUAGCUGCUGCCUGGGCGUUUGCUGAUGUAUUUAGUUUCUAGGCUCAGGCCUAGAAGGCCUUACUCAUCACAGCCCUUAAUGCUCCUCUCCUACCACAGAGCCUGGCACCUGGCUUGAUGAAUCGGUACUGGUAUUAAUCAUUGGAGGGGACCGGUUCCUUCUUUGUGCAUUUGUCUGAAAAAUUGCUCUCUUUGUGGAAGCUUUUAAUGGAUUUCUCAAGUCUUUCUCUACCGUGACACAUAAUGCCUGAAAUUCAAUGGCAGCAACAAAUGAAAGGGACAAAAAGUGAGGUGGAAGCAUAAUUACCGUGUAUCAAAAUAUAGUGCUCUGGUAACUGAAACUCACAGGUGAUGUAGCACCAGCUUAACUCUGCCAGGCGUUGGGGCUGACAGUCCCCUUCGUCACAGCCACCUGUGCUGCCGCCCUGCUCUCCCUCCCCUCAGCCUGAUUGCUUUGCAAUUAGUUGUUAGGAAAAAAAAAAGAAAAAGUAAUCACAAGAGAUUAAUUGCAUCUCCCUGAAAUGCCUGUCUCUGGAACUGACAGGGAGAACGGUCUUGGGGCUUCUGUCCACAGCAUCACUUAGCAGAGGAAACACAGAGAGUUUUUUGGCAAUGUCAGGGGAAGUUGCCAGCUCUCCUCUCAGGCUCGGAUGGCUAUAGGAGCACUGAGCGCUUCGCUAUUUCCAUUACAAUGGGGCACAAAUCAUCUGAUUUUCACAAGCAACAAUGAGAAACCAUUUCUGGCCUGCAAGGGAUGCUGUACUGCAUAUGGACUGUGAAAAAGCAGGAGCAGAGCUGGGAGCAAUAGAGAGGAGAAACGAUGCAGAGCAUUGGCCGGAGUGGCACUCCUGCCUUGUGGGGAGAAGGCUGGAAAGGGAUCUUACUGACCCUGUCUUAGGCCUUCUCCCUUCUGGCUUUUAUACCUGGGAUUCCACUGAAACUGAUGUGCCUUCAUGAUCACAGAUCUGCCCCUCCAUUCAGCACACCUGCUUUGGUCCAGGCAAACAGUUGAGGCUCUCUCUGACCUCUCUUCUGAAUGACAGAUUGUCACCAAGCUCAGUUUUGCAGGAACAUCCAAUACGCUCUAUACCUUCAUUUCACACCUUACAAGUGCUUCUGUUUUGUGUACGUGGAGUAGUAUCCAGCAUAUUCUCAGCUAUAAUCAAACAAUUAUUGUUAACAACAACCGAUGCAUGAAAAUCAUGUGUCUGACUGAAAUCUCCCAGUGAUUUGGGGAGAAUCUUUACACAGACAUUUAGCAACCAUGCUGUGGAAGUUAUGGAAACACAACCACCACAUCAGUGCAGUUCCAUACUUUAUAAGAUGAAAUUCUCAUUCUGGGGUACGUGCCAUAAUUUUUAAUAAAAACUGUUCUAAAAUAGAGCAGCUGCCAAGCAAAGCAUUACCAGGGCUGCCAGAAGGCCUCCUGAGGUGCCAGCCCAGCAGAAAACCAGGCAGGGUUUAAAUGUGGUAAGGAAGGUUGUUUCAGAGACCUGGUGGAUUUGCACAGGAAUUCCAGCAAAUGGGGGAGUUUCUUUUUCACUGAUUUUGCAAAUUUUUGAUGAGGAAAAAAAAAAUCCAUCUGAAAAUUUCCAGCCUGCACUACUACACUUUACACAGCAACUAAGAUCAGCUUCUCCUCUGGAUGGUUUGAGGUAGAAAAGGAAAAGCACGUUUUCCAUACAAAACUGUACAGUUCACAGAGCCAGAUGAUAGUGAUGGACCUGGUCUGGGAACAGAAAUAACAAUCAUACACAUGGAAAUUAUGGGUUUUCCCCCAGCAGUCUGUUUUCUACUCAAAUGCAGUCCCAGUCAUUCCUGAUACAAGUAAAAAUAUCCUAUAGCAGCCUCUUGUACUUAAAGAUAUCCAGCCAAAAAAAAAAAACAGACUACCACAGCUCAGAAGAUAUAGAGGCAUUUUAAAAAUGUGUAGCAAGUGCACUCUAAAGUGCUUAAAUCCUGCAGCCUUUGUUCAUGCCAAGCUCUCAAGUAGUGGCAACUGGACAUCAAACUGAUGACAGAAAAGUCUUUGCUGCUUGUAUUAAAUGCAAGCUCUCUUCUUGAGAGCAUCAAGCAGUGUUGGUGGCAACAAACCCUGGCAUCAAUUUCUGCGAUACUGGUGGCCUCUCUGCCCCGUGUGCUGGCUCUUUUAUCUCACCCAAAGCACCACUGAAGCAGUGCUGUUAAAUGACUGACUGAGUCCAAAACAUAUAUGUGAUAAGCUGCCGGGGCUCUGCUCUAUCUUGACGGUUUAUGCUACACAACAUGAUUAUUUCCCCCCUCUGCAUCUGGAAAGGAAGAUCAAUGUUGUAGAGAAUUUUAAAUUGGCUCGCACUGUGGAGUUGGUUUCAUUACCUAUAUAUUAAUUGUCGAGGUACAUAGUAAUUCUCUGCCUUACAUUACUGGAAUUUUUUGCAACUUUUCUAGGAACUAAGUAUUGAUCCCUGGAAAAUGAACAACAAUUAAAGUAAAAUAUAGACAACUGCAAUCCCAGUGGUCCCAUUAAAGGAUGAAAUGCUUCAUUAACACCUCAUAAGAACAUUCAGAACAUGAGAGGAGGGCAACUUUCUUCUUCAUCACUGGUGAAUGGUUUCCAGAAAGGAAUGGCCUUUAAACUUCCUAAGAUUAGUCUACGCACAAAUUUCCUACAGUAACUAAGCCAGUUAUAAGUUGAAGUGCUCUUUCCAAUCACGUCAAGUUGCUUUUGCUACUUUAAAAUUGUGUUUUCGUAUUCCAGCAUAAAUCAGUUACCUGGUGAUUUAAUCUUAAGUUAAGUAAGGGAAAAUGUAAACCAUCACAGAGUCCAUAAUUAGUUUGAUAAAAUUAGGUCAUGCUAUAAAUUAAAUCAAGACAAUAUGCAUAUGCCCUUAAACUUCUUGACUGUGCCAAACCCAUAGCACAUUGUUGGAGAGGAGCUUCCUCAAAAUUUCAGCUUUGACGUUUUGACUGGGAAAAAAACUUCAUGUUGGCAGAGGUAGAAAGUCUGAAUGACAUUUGAACGUUGCAGAAACACAGAGUCUCUAUCCACGACUAUAUAGUUUUUUUUAAUAUUUAUUUAGUGUUUAAGAAAUAAUACGAAGAAAAGCUGAGCAAUAUGCUGAGCUCCUGCUGAUUUCCACAGGGCAAUGGUACCUCUGAAAAUUGAGUUUCUGUGAGUUAUGUAAGUCAUAGCUUGUACUCAGUACCUACACAGGAGGAAAUGAUAGGUAAUUUAAUUGUCUUUUUGGUGAUGGUGCUGUUUUUUUUAAAUAUUCUUUUUAUCAGUGUUGAUCUCCUGGUGUUUGAGAUACAGAGGUGUUAGGCCACUUGAAGUGACAGAUAGAGUGUUUUUGGCUAGAAUCUGGACUUUUGAGUUCUGCCAGGCUAUAAAUAAACAUAGACUGAUUUACAUAUUUAUUAAAUUCAUAUUUGCUAGGUUGCAAGCAUUUCAGGUCUCUCACAUACUGUGGUCAAAAUGCCAGCAAGGUCAUUCUAAGAAAUACAGAAAUUCACAAAAAUGUUUCCCAGUGACAGAAACAUAUCACUUCAGAAGCAAGGUAAAAAGGGAGUGAAAGCAAUGCUUGGGGCCUGUUGCGAGUAGAGCUGGGGAGGACUUGUACGAAUUUUGUGGAUGUGUUACAUCAUAAAUAGACAAGAUAUUGAUGGAUACUGCUCCAUUGCUGCCACUGGAUCCACGUGGCAUAGAUUAGCUCAUGGAAUAGCAGAUCAGACCGUACUGAAGAGCAUGCCUGCUGCCUUAAGGAAACCUUAAGAAAGUUAUGGUGGAGAAGGAAAGAAAGAAAAGCAUGCACAACUAAACAUACACAGCUGUCAUUGCAAAUGUGCCCCUUCCAGGCGUCCUUGAGAAAGCAAAUCUAUCCGAACCGUUCUUGGAGGCAUCUAUAUAUCAGUUGCACCAAACUUUCAGUGGUAGAUCUUAAGCAGGAACUCAACGUCCUAUUUCCAAAUACACCAAAGGACUAAGAGGCAUCUCACGGCUUUUCCCAAGGCCUUGUAUCUCUCCUGACAUGGAAUUAAGUGUUCCAGUACUAGAGCCUAUUUGCAUUUUAGCUGCCUUCAGUGCAAUGCAGGAUUUUGGGGAUGGUAAAACACAUCCAUGCUGUUGUUGCAGCUAGGGCUUACGCUCACAUUUGAGCAGGUUUCCACUGUCUCCUUAGUGCCUGCUGCCUGGCUCAAGGCUGGGGCAAACCAACUGGCUGCUAAGUGAAGACAUUUGGGUAUCAUAGGCAGAGAAAAAGCCUGGCUUACCCUUGGCAGCACAGCUGCGAGCAGAUUUUGCCACUCAGCACAGCAAACUCAAGAGCACGCUGGCGUGUUUAACAAGGACAAUAUAAACAGUGCCAGCAUGAGUUAUGUUGGGAAGGAGUGAUGCAACUUUUUGUUGCUACUUUUCUUUCACACCUUCAAGCCUUUUGACCAAGCUGCGCCACAAAAAUGUGAGAAACAUGUCAUUCACCGGAGGGGUGAGGAAAUACUGCUAUUCUGAGCAGGAAAGAAUAAAGUCAGUCACUGAGCCAGUAUGUAGAUCACCACAGAGUUUUCAUAUUGUCAUCAAGUACGGGUGCCAGAACCUGAUGUCUUUGACACCACAUCAGCAGCCCAAUUAGCAACAUGAAGUCAUCUCAGCACUGAGAUUAUUUGUCACUCUCUAAAAGACUGAUACUCGGCAUCUGGUUUAGCAGGUUAUGAGGCAUCAUGAAAAUGCUCUGAUAAAUGAGCAAAUUCAUUUCAUCCAUCAGAGCCUGCAAAUGACCCUGCUGUGAUCCUGACAGUGCUGGGAUUCCUAGGGACAUUGCAGCGAGGCAGAGUUUGGCCAUUUAUCCUCUGAGGGCAUCCAGCAUACUGCCACCUCAACCUUCACAUCAAGAAAAAGUAUUCCUGAUUUCUUUUCAACUCACACCUCUACAAAGACUCUGAAGUCAAAGGAUCAACGGGCACGAGGAAAUAGAAGAGUAGGUAGAAAGUUUGACCUAAAUGUGUUGUGAUAGAACUACCAAACUGAAAAACAACAUAUUCCUACUGUGGGACAUAAAUCAGUCAUUCACUAGUACACCAUUAACUACAGGGCACUUUUAAACACCGACCCCUGCAGAAGCAAAUGCCCGGUCAGUACCAGCUCUGAUGUGACUCUGUUUCUCAGGGACACAGGGACUGAAGCAUGGUUUAGUAUCUGGUGCCAAAGAGACCUACAAUAACACACAAAGCAUUGAAGCACCGUACAACAGUUAUAAAAAGAUAAUUCACUCUGCUUAGCAGCUGCAACAGAGCAAUAAGGUCAUGCCAGCAAGCACCAGUUCACCCUAAUUGGAUAAUCUUUUUCUUUGGAAAACUAAAGCACUCACGGUAGUUUCCCAUUUUUGUGUGCAGAUGAUUUUACAACACUGCAGUGUACAAAAAAGGCUCCAUCCUUACUGUCACUGCUGGUUUUGUGCCCAGUGAUGUUCAGGUGAGCUUUGAUGCAGCAAGGACCUCAGAAUUUUGCCUCAAUCGCCCUGCUAAGAACUGCAUGGGAUGAGAGUAGAGACCUGUCUAAUCCAGUAUCCCUUCCCUGGCCAAAAUCAAGAUAUGCUGUACUCCACCCUGAUAGCCUUCCUGAAGCAGAAUCAUUUUCAUUGCACUUGCACAUCAACAGACUUAGAUUCUGGAGAAAUAACAGGGAAUAUCUAUUAAAAGCUGAGGGCUUUCCAGUAAUAACUCCCAUAAACCUAUCACACCCAUUGAAAUCAACUAGGCAUGCCAUUUAUUUGGUGUUUUGAUAAAUUAUAGCUCUGGGGUGCACCGAGGUCCAGAUUUUUAAAGCUAUUCAGCUGUUUAACUCUCAUUGAUUUCAGCAUAAUUGAUUUCAGUGGGAGUAAGGUGCCUGUAUUGCUCCACACUCUGGGCCAGUCCCUUCUAUGGUAACUGCACCAAUUAGGCAGGAGAGCUAUUUAUCAGGGGCCCCAUUAAAUAGACUCAGUGGUGCCCAAUUACAUCUAAAUUACCAGCUCAGCUACCCCGAUGGCUGAGCAGGUGGCGUGGCUGUUGCCAUCACACUGGCACCACAAUUGACGCGGAGAAUCUCUUCCAUUGUAUCCCACUUACAGGAAGGCUCAUCCAGGAACAACACCCAGCUUCCUCAAUCAGCCCGUGAUGGUUUUCACCCUCCCACCAGGUCAUUCUGACAUUGCAACCGACUAAUGGUGUAAUGGAUACCAGGAAGAAAAGCAUGCUGAAUCCAAAUCUAAAUGAGUGGGGCUUACAUAAUUAGAGGGUGAGAGAAAGAGAAACUAGAAUCAGAGACAAAGUCUUUUCAAGGUUUCCAAGGCAGCAAGUGGCUGCUUCUCACACAGCAUGCACCACAAUUGUGUUUUCAAUUCUACAGCAUCAGUUUUCUCUGUGAUGAGGAGAAAAAAACCCACUCUUUUGAAAUGCGAGUCAUUUGUAAUGUUACGUGCAGAGGAUUCUGGUGUUGUGAUCUUUCACUUUUGCCCUGCAUUUAAUACUGAAGAUCAUUCAGCCAUGGUGAAACCAGAUGGAGGAAAUUCUCUCCUGCAAGACAUGAAGGCCAACGACGGAUGAUGCCAGCUGCACUACACAGUACUGCUGCUCUCUCACUCUUGAAAGAAAGCUUUUUCCAGGUGCCAAAUCCAAUCAGAACAAUGUAGGUAGCUCAGCUGAUGACAGGGAACCAGAUCCAAUGUGCUGCGAGGAGCAAAAUGCACCGGCAGCUUCAGGAAUCUGCACCCCCAGGAGAUGGACCACCUGGCCUGCCCACACCACCAGGUUUCCUAAGACAUCCUUCCUAGCUCCAGUAAACUUCAGUACCCCCAGGAGGGUCUGAAAAAGGACUCUGAUUAAGGACCACUUUUAGGGGGUUUCCCUCAGCUGGUUUCCACCAAGAGCGGAGAAAAUAUUCGAAGUGGCUCACUUCUGUUAAAAAUACUCGAGUUAUAACUAGGAAAUGUACAAGAGUAAAGUUACAGCAGAAACAAUAAAGACAACACUCUCCUGAGCCAUAAAUAUCCCUGGAUAGUUCUUCCUGAGACCAAACUCCUGGUGCAUUUAAUGAACACUUGGCGCAAAACGAGAAUGACGUCAGGGCCAGGAGACCUCUGAGCAAGACUUCAGACCAGGUCUAUACUCCAGCCAAAGCCCGUUGGUCUUGGACUGCGUGCUGUGCAUCGUGCUCUGGCAGUUUUUCAAGCAUCUGCAGAGAAAGCUUAUGGGGCCAAGUUUUAAGAAUGCGUCUGGACUUACAGCUUCAGUAUUGGAUUUGCUUUUGUGAAGAAGAGGCUGCCUUUAAGGCUGACCUGAAAAUACAUAUUCAAGGAGCAUACUUGCUAAACGCUUCAGUUUUUCUCUUUGUUUCCAAGACCAGAAGGCUGCACAUAAAACACACUCCAGUAUUCAUGACUAAAACUUCAGUUCUUUUUUAAAUGGUGAUACUUCUGAACUCAAGAUCAACCUGUUGUAAACAGAAAUAAGAUCAAUCUGAACUCCCAUUUGUUUGCUUGACUAAGGCAACUUUGAAAGCAAAAUAAAAUGUAGAAGAAGAAAAUCGAGCUGCCUUCGAAGACCAAAUAGAGAAUGAUACAACUGAAAAAUAGUUAUGGAGACAGAGAUCAACCUGCCCUCUAUAAACAUCUAUGGUUAAAUCAGAUUCAAUAAGAUGUAACACGGUAUAGUGGUGGCAGAGGUUAUUGAAAUCACCAUUGAUGGAUUUGCCGUGUGUUUUGGUGCUGAACACAUUACAAACGUGGUUAAAGGAUCUCGUUAGGAAAAGCAGUUACUGUCAGGAUUUAUGCACAAUAUAUUUCACUUACAAGCCUUUUGUCUUGGAAGGAUAUGACACAACAGAGAGAGUUGGGAAGGGAGAACAGGGGGCAUAAGGGCUUUUACUCCACACGACUUGCAUUUGGAUCAUUAAAAAUGCAUCUAGCUAUACCUGGAAUAUUUCUCUUGUGAGGGAUAGAAAUACAAUCCCCCUCAACCAGCUACAACAGUUUUGUUGGAGAGUUUUUCACAGGCAGAAGCAACCCAAAUCUUCCCCAGUACAGCCAGGCAGAGCAGGUCCUUCCCGGCAGGAAUACCUGGAUAAACUCAAAGACAGGCUUGCAGGAGUAAGUUGCCAUUGCUACAGAGUUUCAGGGGUGAUUUUUAAGGUAACUUCUAGGGUAAAAACAUGAAAAUAAGGCACUCCAGACUCUCAGCCACCUGAAUAUAGCCGACGGUGGAUGCUCAUCUUUAACAUUUCUCACCAGAGUGGGUAUUGAUUUCAUUUCUCACUCUAGACUAGUCACUUGACCAAGCUGCACUCCAGUGUUUAACAUGUUGGUCAUGCUGGCAGGUGGGGAUUUGUGGUCUGUAGUCUAUCUUAUGGUGACCUUUAUGACUGGCACAGUCUUAAUCGUAAUAGAAAAGACUGAUGUAAAGGCAUUCACGUUGUUAUUUUUAGCAGUAGGGAAUGGAAUAGUUGAAAGAGUAGUAAGGUUUGAGUAGAGUGGCACUUAUUGUCCCCUGUGGACAAAUGCAGUGAUUUCUUGUACAGUUUAAUUUUUUAUUUUAUUUUUUUUUAAGGACAAGGACAAAAAGUUGGCUGGGUAGACAGCUGAGAGGUGGUAAGUGCUCUGUUAUAGGAGGAGUGCUCAGAAUAAAUGCAUCAAGGCUGAAAUUCCUCGCAUUAAGUGCCCAUAUUUUCCCAGCAUCCUUCUUCCUCUCCAGCAAAACUGGGCAGAGUUUGUACCUCAAAACUAAAGGAGCGACUUCAGAUGCUCUGCAAGCAUCAGGCACUAUCUUGCCCUCAGGCUCAUCUUAGGCAUGCUUCCAGGCUCAGGGACUUCUUAAUCUCAGCAGUGCUCAUGCCACCUCCACCUUGAAGCCUGUCCUUGUGCAG